AUACAAACAUUUCCCACCCACCAUGUGGAUCAAGAUGUUUGGGCUGAUGAUUCUGGGUCGUAUGUGUGGACAAGGUGGUCUUCAUUACAUCAUGAUGCAGCUGUGUAUUCAACAACAUGUUAACCUGUCCCAGCGGAUGUUGAUGCUCUUAAAUCUCUUAAAUGAUGUUGAGAAAAAUCCAGGACCGGAGUAUUCGUGCAAAUGGAUAUCCUGCAAGGAAGACUUCCACUCCAUAGGACAGCAAGAUGCACAUAUCAUCUCUCAUGUGGUUCAAGAGAAAUGCUGUAGAUGGGGAGACUGUACCAAAGUCCUGAGCUUUAAUAGUCUUGAAAUCCAUGAACUUAAACAUCUCUAUGAUGUGAGUUUAGCACUGUGUAUGAACUGGUGUUGCUUCAUUUUCUGCAUAUCUUUAUCUCAGUCUUCUCUAGUUUUGAUGGUCAAAUACAUAUUGUCUGCCAGUUUUUUUCCCCCAAUACUGCCGUUCAUCGUUUGCUUGCAUCAAGAGUUUUAAAAGAAAUUAAAACUCAUUUGUUUAGUUAGAAUCUUAUGAAAGACUUAAAUGGCCAUGUUUAAUACAAUUGUAUAACAACAUAUACGAGCUAAAAAAAUAGUUGGAAUAAUUAAUGUUUAUAUGAACAUAACAAAUUUACUUAAAAUCAUAGGUCUUGUUUUUGUCUGCCACUAUAAGAACCAGAACAUAUUUCGGACAUUCGAGGAUUGACUUGCUGUGUUAGAGGAUCAUCAGGUGAUGGAAGAAACCAGGCUUUUUUCGACUCAAUGUUAAUGAAACCUGAUCGACAUGCUCAUCUUGGUUGAGUAAGCCUGGGUUGAGUGUUUCCAAAAAGUAGGUAACCUGGUGAAAUCUUAGGAAAACAUUGUAACCAGAUCCAGGUUUUUUUGACUGACAGACCGAUGGACAGUGGGUCAACCGUAAAUCCCUUCAUGUGAAAACGGUAGGGACAAAAUAAAUAUCACAUUGCUCUUCUGAGUUCAUUUGUAAACCAAGUUUUAUCACAAAAUUAAAAUGGUCAAUGUAUUAUUUUGUGUAUUUAAAAAUUAUGUGAAUAUUAAGUUUCAUGAAAUCUUA